GGGUGGUAAAUUUCAUCUAAAGCUAAAUAUUGGCCGGAGACCGAUAGCGCACAAGUAGAGUGAUCGAAAGGUUAAAAGCACCUUGAAAAGGGAGUUAAACAGCACGUGAAAUUGUUGAAAGGGAAGCGCUUGCGGCCAGACUCGAGCGCAGGGUUCAGCGGGUGCGUGUCACCCGUGCACUCCCUGUCGCCCGGGCCAGCAUCAGUUCUAACGGCCGGUCAAAGGCCCCCGGAAUGUGUCGUCUCUCGGGACGUCUUAUAGCCGGGGGUGCAAUGCGGCCCGUCGGGACUGAGGAACGCGCUUCGGCUCGGAUGCUGGCAUAAUGGCCGUAAGCGGC
rnacentral:rRNA from 1 species